rnacentral:tRNA from 1 species
GCUGGAGUAGCUCAGUUGGUUAGAGCGUGUGGUUGUUAACCACAAGGUCAAAUGUUUAAGCCCUUCCUUUAGCG